rnacentral:rRNA from 1 species
UGGGGAAUUGUUCACAAUGGGCGCAAGCCUGACGCAGCAACGCCGCGUGAGUGAUGAAGGCCUUCGGGUCGUAAAGCUCUGUCGGAGGGAACGAAUGCUCCUGAAGUUAACAGCCUCAGGAGGUGACGGUACCCUCAAAGGAAGCACCGGCUAACUCUGUGCCAGCAGCCGCGGUAAUACAGAGGGUGCGAGCGUUAAUCGGAGUGACUGGGCGUAAAGGGCAUGUAGGCGGUUAUAUUAGUCUGAUGUAAAAGACCCGGGCUUAACCUGGGAUAUGCAUUGGAAACGGUAUAGCUAGAGUAUGGGAGAGGGAAGUGGAAUUUCCGGUGUAGCGGUGAAAUGCGUAGAGAUCGGAAAGAACACUCGUGGCGAAGGCGGCUUUCUGGCCCAUAACUGACGCUGAGGAGCGAAAGCAUGGGUAGCAAACAGGAUUAGAUACCCCCGUAGUCCCUGAGCGGGCUGGCAAGGCGCAU